rnacentral:rRNA from 1 species
CCCUAUGGGGUGCAAUUGCGGACGUUAGUCCAAACUUCAAUCAGGCUUUAACAAGCACUUAUAUUCGUUCACUCAAAAAUCAUUUUUUAUGAAGAGUUUAGUGAAGAAGCAAGAGGUGAAAACAGCAGCUGUGGUGGCACAAUGCUGUGCCAAAACCUCUAAGACGGUUGUGGGCUGCCACGACUAAUUUUGUUAUCAAGGGUGCUUGUCAGCGGGGAUUCCUGUUGCAGGCACCUUUUUUAUUUCAUCAAAACUGUGGAAUGACAUUUUCGAAACACAACAUUAUUUCCAAGGUCAGGAAUUCCGACAACUAUUAUAUUGUCAACCUGCUGAGCGUUGAAGCCGAUUUGCUUACUGCCAACGAGGCCGCUACACUAACAAACGGCGGCGACAUUGCCAUUGACCAUCAGUUGGCGGGGGAGC